rnacentral:lncRNA from 1 species
ACCUCCCCUCCUGGGGAGGGAAACUGACUCCUCCACUCGAGGCCGGACCAGGAGCUGCUCCACCACGAGGGCUGUCUGUUAUGAGGCACCGUAAGCCAAGAGAGCUCCUCUCUAGGAGAACCCUGACAGAGGGAAGGUUACGAUCAGCUGUGUCAGUCAGACACCAUUAUGCAGUGGAAGACUGAGCACUUUCCCCUGUGAUCCAGUGGCACCAUUUCUAAAGUAGGAAAACUUUAAUCUGAAAAACUGAUAACAAUAGAGACAUGUAUCUUACAGGUAAAUAUAUGAG